AUUGAACGCUGGCGGCAGGCCUAACACAUGCAAGUCGAGCGGAUGAAGGGAGCUUGCUCCUGGAUUCAGCGGCGGACGGGUGAGUAAUGCCUAGGAAUCUGCCUGGUAGUUGGGGAUAACGUCCGGAAACGGGCGCUAAUACCGCAUACGUCCUGAGGGAGAAAGUGGGGGAUCUUCGGACCUCACGCUAUCAGAUGAGCCUAGGUCGGAUUAGCUAGUUGGUGGGGUAAAGGCCUACCAAGGCGACGAUCCGUAACUGGUCUGAGAGGAUGAUCAGUCACACUGGAACUGAGACACGGUCCAGACUCCUACGGGAGGCAGCAGUGGGGAAUAUUGGACAAUGGGCGAAAGCCUGUUCCAGCCAUGCCGCGUGUGUGAAGAAGGUCUUCGGAUUGUAAAGCACUUUAAGUUGGGAGGAAGGGCAGUAAGUUAAUACCUUGCUGUUUUGACGUUACCAAAAGAAUAAGCACCGGCUAACUUCGUG
rnacentral:rRNA from 1 species